CUGCUAUUUCAGCAAAGGGAUACCAUCAUCCAGGUUUCCCCUCCAAUUUCUGACUGUACAGCUAUUUAGUAGUGACACCAGUAAAACUUACUUAAAAGACAUUUAGUUAACAAUGUACAUUUUCUAAGAAAACCUGAAAGAGUUUCAAAAUACUGCUAUCAACUUCAAAACACACUGUAAUGUACCAUAGUUAUGGGUCUAUGACUAGCUACUGUCAUACACACUACAGAUUUGCAGGCUGCCCUAGAGAGAAUCAUGUAAUUCCUUCCAGCAUAUGGAGACACCCUGUUCAAAUGGAUAUUUGUAGCUCCCAAAAAUGUCAGUGCAAUGGGUGUGAAAAUAUUUUAGUUCAUUUCACUUGAAAUUAGGAUGUCUUACUAGAAGUUUCAAGGAACAAGACCUAAACCAAAAUUCUGACAGUCCAACCAUGUCUUGCUUGUUGCUAUUUUAAAUUUAGAAACAAGUAAGAUCAAAAACUUUUGUUCAGCCUUGUGUGCUCUCCGUGGACUGCAGAGGAUGCAGCCACUGGUGUCAAGAGCAGCUCAGAGUAGCUGUGCUCACACCUCAGUUCCCCACAGGGGCUGGGAUCUUGUUCAGACUGGCUGCAGAGAGGAGGCAUUCCAGGACAGGGAAACUGAGCCAGAAAUGGAAAAUGAGGUUGGAAGUUUUGAAGAAAAACCCAGGAAGCUGUUACCAACAGAAGGAAUCAACAGGCAAACUUCUGAAGAUUUUCCUCUGCCUGUGCUAAGGCCUGCUGCAGAUAAACUCCCAUUAACAUCUGUGUAACAGCUACUGGAUCUGUGAGAUGUAGCAAUCAAACAUGAAUGUGAUUAAGGACUGGUUGUCCAGGGUUUAUAACAGAAACAGAAAUGCAAAUGUCAGAAAGUGAAUAGCAAAUUAGAGCUCCCAGAUUAUUUUUAUUGUUUCAGUAGUUCUCUGCAAAACACAAAAACAAGUGAUGUAAGCAUUUUAAGAGGCUUAAACUGUAAAUUCUUUUGGUUCUGCCAGAGAAGUGUUAGAUACAGUCCCUUAUGCUUGUAUGAGAAUACUCCUGAAGCACAUACUACUGAAAGGAAAAAUCAACUAUCAGCUAACAAAUGAAAGGAAGAGAGAGAAAAGCCAGUUCAGAAAAGCAAGAAACCUUGAAGUGCAGUUUCAUUCCUGAGAGGGAAUGGAAGCAGGUGAAAGAGAGGGGUUUUACAACACCAUCCAAAAUAGGUGACAAUGAG
rnacentral:lncRNA from 1 species